rnacentral:rRNA from 1 species
UGGGGAAUAUUGCACAAUGGGCGCAAGCCUGAUGCAGCCAUGCCGCGUGUGUGAAGAAGGCCUUCGGGUUGUAAAGCACUUUCAGCGAGGAGGAAGGUGGUGAGCUUAAUACGCUCAUCAAUUGACGUUACUCGCAGAAGAAGCACCGGCUAACUCCGUGCCAGCAGCCGCGGUAAUACGGAGGAUGCAAGCGUUAAUCGGAAUUACUGGGCGUAAAGCGCACGCAGGCGGUUUGUUAAGUCAGAUGUGAAAUCCCCGGGGCUCAACCUGGGAACUGCAUUUGAAACUGGCAAGCUAGAGUCUCGUAGAGGGGGGCUAGAAUUCCAGGUGUAGCGGUGAAAUGCGUAGAGAUCUGGAGGAAUACCGGUGGCGAAGGCGGCCCCCUGGACGAAGACUGACGCUCAGGUGCGAAAGCGUGGGGCAGCAAACAGGAUUAGAUACCCUGGUAGUCCACGCUGUAAACGAUGUCGAUUUUGGAGGUU